rnacentral:piRNA from 1 species
UCCGGGUAUGCUUGACCAUUGAGGGCC